rnacentral:rRNA from 1 species
UGCUAGAUGCUGACGAGCGGCGGACGGGUGAGUAAUGCAUAGGAAUCUGCCCGGUAGUGGGGGAUAACCUGGGGAAACCCAGGCUAAUACCGCAUACGUCCUACGGGAGAAAGGGGGCUCCGGCUCCCGCUAUUGGAUGAGCCUAUGUCGGAUUAGCUAGUUGGUGAGGUAAUGGCUCACCAAGGCAACGAUCCGUAGCUGGUCUGAGAGGAUGAUCAGCCACAUCGGGACUGAGACACGGCCCGAACUCCUACGGGAGGCAGCAGUGGGGAAUAUUGGACAAUGGGGGGAACCCUGAUCCAGCCAUGCCGCGUGUGUGAAGAAGGCCCUCGGGUUGUAAAGCACUUUCAGCGAGGAAGAACGCCUAGUGGUUAAUACCCAUUAGGAAAGACAUCACUCGCAGAAGAAGCACCGGCUAACUCCGUGCCAGCAGCCGCGGUAAUACGGAGGGUGCAAGCGUUAAUCGGAAUUACUGGGCGUAAAGCGCGCGUAGGUGGCUUGAUAAGCCGGUUGUGAAAGCCCCGGGCUCAACCUGGGAACGGCAUCCGGAACUGUCAGGCUAGAGUGCAGGAGAGGAAGGUAGAAUUCCCGGUGUAGCGG